AUUCUACUCCCUCCGUUGCACAAUACAUGCCUUCUAUUUGUCAAAAUAUAUAUGUAUCUAGAAAUGUUUUAGCAUAUAGGUACAUCCAUUUUUGGACAAAUGGAAGUCAAGUAUUUUGGAACGGAGGGAGUACACA
rfam:Triticum aestivum genome assembly, contig: Triticum_aestivum_CS42_TGACv1_scaffold_051049_1BS